rnacentral:rRNA from 1 species
AAGUUGAGUGAUCGNAAGAUGAAAAGAACUUUGAAAAGAGAGUUAAAUAGUNCGUGAAAUUGCUGAAAGGACGAAGCAUUGGAAACCAGUCUUACCCGGGUGAGAUCAGUUGCCUUUUCGCAAGGCGAUGCNCUCUGAACCUGUUGGUAGGUCAGCAUCAGUUUCUGGGGGUGGAAAAAGGAUCUAGGAAGGUACCUUUUCGGGUUCUGCCUGAAGAGNNUUUAUAGCCUNGGUUGUAAUACAUCCNCUGGGGACUGAGGACUGCGAUCUUUAUGGUCAAGGAUGUUGACA